ACAAAAUAUCAAUGGAUAUGUUCCAUUGUCCUGCUUCUUUCAUCGGAUGGCUCUCUUUGGGCUUUUCGAAAAGGUAUCAUAUGCCAAGUUUGGCCUCACUGUAUAAAAGUUAUAGAGUCAUAAAGUUUUAACCAAAGAAAAAAAUUAAAAAAAAAGAGGGAUGCAACACGAGGACUUUCCAGGAGGUCACCCAUCGUAGUACUACUCUCGCCCAAGCACGCUUAACUGCGGAGUUCUGAUGGGAUCCGGUGUAUUAGUGCUGGUAUGAUCGCAUCCGUUAGUAUAUGCAAUGCAAUCGUAUAUAUUCUUUUUUGAAGACUUGAUGAACCAUUCGCCGUGGGUCCCACACGCUAUGUAGGGAUACCCCAUCUAGUCUUAACGAGCUUUGAUGCGUGAAAAAAUUCUAAAACAAUGCUUGAACAAGUAAUUUUGGGUCCGUAAUAUAGCCCAAAUCACAAAAAUGCCCAAAAAAGUACUUAAAGGUCAAAAUUUGGGGUCGACAAAAAGUCAAUGGAAUUGUUCCAUUGUCCUGCUUCUUUCGUUAGAGGGCUCUAUUUGGGCUUUCCAAAAAGGUAUCACAUGCUAAGGUUUGCCUCACGGUAUGAAAGUUAUAGUCAUAAAGUUUUAACCAAAAAAAAACAAAUUAAAAAAAAGAGGGAUGCAACACGAGGACUUCCCGGGAGGUCACCCAUCCUAGAACAACUCUCCCCCAAACACGCUUAACUAAAGGUCAAAAUUUGGAGUCGACAAAAAAUCAAUGGAUAUGUUCCAUUGUCCUGCUUCUUUCAUUUGAGGGCUCUCUUUGGGCUUUACGAAAAGGUAUCAAAUGCCAAGUUUGGCCUCACUGUAUAAAAGUUAUAGAGUCAUAAAUU
rnacentral:sRNA from 1 species